rnacentral:tRNA from 1 species
AAUGAAGUGCCUGAUUAAAAGGGCUAUUUUGAUAGAAUAGAUUAUGUAAGCUUUUACCUUCAUUA